CGCCUCUUGACAAACAUAAGAGGUCCAGCCUGCCCAGUGACAAAGUUUAACGGCCGCGGUACCCUAACCGUGCAAAGGUAGCGCAAUCACUUGUUCCUUAAAUAGGGACUAGUAUGAACGGCAUCACGAGGGUUAUUCUGUCUCCCCCUUUUAAUCAGUGAAACUGACCUCCCCGUGAAGAGGCGGGGAUAAAAAUAUAAGACGAGAAGACCCCAUGGAGCUUUAAACUAAGUACUAACUGCUUUACCCAUGCCAUUAUAAUUUAGCAACUGUAGAAACUAGUUUUUGGUUGGGGUGACCGCGGAGCAAAACACAACCUCCACGAUGAAUGAGCCUAAAACCCUAAUUACUAGAGCCACAACUCAAACAAACAACAAAUUGACAUAUUUGAUCCAAUUAAUUUUGAUCAACGAACCAAGUUACCCUGGGGAUAACAGCGCAAUCUACUUCAAGAGCCCCUAUCGACAAGUGGGUUUACGACCUCGAUGUUGGAUCAGGGUACCCAGGUGGUGCAACCGCUACUAAAGGUUCGUUUGUUCAACGAUUAAAACCCU
rnacentral:rRNA from 1 species